rnacentral:rRNA from 1 species
GACGAACGCUGGCGGCGUGCUUAACACAUGCAAGUCGAACGGAAAGGCCCUGCUUUUGUGGGGUGCUCGAGUGGCGAACGGGUGAGUAACACGUGAGUAACCUGCCCUUGACUUUGGGAUAACUUCCGGAAACUGGGGCUAAUACCGGCUAGGAGCUCCUGCUGCAUGGUGGGGGUUGGAAAGUUUCGGCGGUUGGGGAUGGACGCGCGGCUUAUCAGCUUGUUGGUGGGGUAGUGGCUUACCAAGGCUUUGACGGGUAGCCGGCCUGAGAGGGUGACCGGCCACAUUGGGACUGAGAUACGGCCCAGACUCCUACGGGAGGCAGCAGUGGGAGAUAUUCCACAAUGGGCGGAAGCCUGAUGCAGCAACGCCGCGUGCGGGAUGACGGCCUUCGGGUUGUAAACCGCUUUCGCCUGUGACGAAGCGUGAGUGACGGUAAUGGGUAAAGAAGCACCGGCUAACUACGUG